rnacentral:rRNA from 1 species
GCUAGUCGAGCGUCUCUAAGCUAUGGAAGAGACGCGGCACACAGCUCAGUAACACGUGGCUAACCUGCCCUUGGGACAAGGACAACUCCGGGAAACUGGGGCUAAUCCCUGAUAGGUGAGAACUCCUGGAAUGGAUUCUCGCUGAAAGGACGUUUAGACCAUGCUUCUAGGCGUCGCCCAAGGAGGGGGCCGCGACCGAUCAGGUUGUUGGUGAGGUAACGGCUCACCAAGCCUUUAACCGGUACGGGCCGUGAGAGCGGAAGCCCGGAGAUGGGCACUGAGACAAGGGCCCAGGCCCUACGGGGCGCAGCAGUCGCGAAAACUCCGCAAUACACGAAAGUGUGACGGGGCUAUCCCGAGUGCCAUCCGCUGAGGAUGGCUUUUCCCCAGUGUAUAAAGCUGGGGGAAUAAGGAGAGGGCAAGCCUGGUGUCAGCCGCCGCGGUAAUACCAGCUCUCCGAGUGGUGGGGAUGUUUAUUGGGCCUAAAGCAUUCGUAGCCUGCUUGGCAAGUCCUCCGUUAAAUCCAACGAUUCAAUCGUUGGGCUGCGGGGGAUACUGUCCGGCUAGGGGGCGGGAGAGGCCGACGGUAUCCCCGGGGUAGGGGUGAAAUCCUAUAAUCCCGGGAGGACCACCAGUGGCGAAGGCUGUCGGCUAGAACGCGCUCGACGGUGAGGGAUGAAAGCUGGGGGAGCGAACCGGAUUAGAUACCCGGGUAGUCCCAGCUGUAAACGAUGCAGGCUAGGUGUU